UACGGGGGGAGCAAACGUUGUUCGGAAUCACUGGGCUUAAAGGGCGCGUAGGCGGGUGCUCAAGUCCGGGGUGAAAUCCUCCAGCUCAACUGGAGAACUGCCUCGGAUACUGGGUGUCUCGAGUGUGGUAGGGGUAUGCGGAACUAUCGGUGGAGCGGUGAAAUGCGUUGAUAUCGAUAGGAACUCCGGUGGCGAAGGCGGCAUACUGGACCACUACUGACGCUGAUGCGCGAAAGCCAGGGGAGCAAACGGG
rnacentral:rRNA from 1 species